rnacentral:lncRNA from 10 species
GCGGGUUGGAACGUCCCGCCGGCUUCACCGCAGGCCGGCAUCUCAGCCUCAGGCCCCACAGCGGGUCUCCCGUCUCCACCCUCGCGGGCUCUGCAGGGCUGGGGCUGCUCCUGAGUUUCUGGUAAGGCCUUCGGGAGUCCCAGCUCUGCGGAGACCAAAGCCCCCACAUCCUCGGCAGAGCCCGGGCGAGUGCCCCGCGGGUGGCGGCGGCUGUGGGGCCGUCUGGGAUUCUCCGCAGCACUGACCCUGCAACCUCCUGUGUCUGCGCUUCGUGGUGAGGGGCGGCGGGAUGCGCGCGAUCCCUUUUUGACUCAGCCAAACGGAAAAGCUCGCGCGUCCCGGCUGGAAGGUGGAGGUCAGGCAGGACCCGGCAAAGGCACAUUCCAAACGAAGCAGACCCCAUUCCUCACCUGCAGAGGGAAGGCGGUGUGGACGGACAGAAACGGCCCUCACAGCCACAGAACCACCGCGGCCACAGCAGCGCGGCGUCCGGCAGGGAGCGGACCGUGGUGGAGGCCUCUGAGCCGAGCAGGCCACGCAGACCCGGGAGGCGCUGAAGCGGGCGCAGCUGCGCCCUGGAGCAGGCAGACCAGGCCACGGCGGAGGGAGAGGCCCGGGGACGCGGCGCAGCCCCUGCGGAGAGGGCAUUCGGUGCUGACUACAGGUCUACAGUCUAAGUCCAGCGCCUGAAGCUGAGGUGUGUGGAUUCCACACUGAUCGUGUCCCCUACACGCUCAUCUUCCGUGUACAGAACGGAGACUCCUUCCUCCACCUACCCAGAGACGCCUGUGUAACUGACUCUUCCUUUACUCCCUUUCCCUCGCCGGUCAUUCGCCUUACCUUAUGGAAAGUGUAAAUUAGGCACUGAGGAACGUCUCACAGGAAUGCAGCCUUCAGCCUUCCUGCCUGCUGGCCCCUCUUCCUACCUGCCCCCGGCCCCGCUUAAGGAAAUGCGCCAACAGGAAGCCUCCUGAAAAGCUCUUUGGAGAAACAGCCGCAGCUGUGUCUGUGGCUGGUGUUUUUCCCAGGUGAACCCUAAAGCUGGCUUGAAAAACCUAAAUGAGCCGAGUGCAGUGGCUCACGCCUGUAAUCCCAGCACUUUGGGAGGCCGAGGUGGGUGGAUCACCUCAGGUCAGGAGUUCAAGACCAGCCUGGCUAACAUGGCGAAAGUCCAUCUCUACUAAAUAUACAAAAAUUAGCCGGGUGUGGUGGUGCAUGUCUAUAGUCCCAGCUACUCAGGAGGCUGAGACAGGAGAAUCGCUUGAGCCCGGGAGGCAGAGGUUGCAGUGAGCCAAGAUCAUGCCACUGCCCUCCAACCUGGGUGACAAGAGGGAGACUCCAUUCUUCCAAGAGGGAGAAUUUUAAUUCAUGUUGUUUUAGAGUCCAUUUAUGCCAUCACAAUUGAUGUUUUACAUUUAUUUAUUUUCUUUUCUCCUAUUUUGCUUUCCAUUAAAUAGAAAAAAGAAAAACCUCCAUGAUCGAGACUUAAGCCUCAGUUGCUCAUUUCACUCGUCAAACCCAUAGUCGCAUCUUCUGAUUUAUGACAAACUUAUGUCCUAGGGACCAGGGGCUCCUGCAGAUGCAGCAUCUCAAGGAACCUGGCCAAUGCGGAUGUGGUGUUUGUAGAGGCGCAGGUUCCAUUCCAACACACGCUCAAGCCCUGCUGUGCAACGUGAGCUCUCCCGGCGGCACACUGGCUAUCCCGGCCCUUGACUCGUCUCUGCUGUCCUUCCUCUUCUCAACAUGUGUCUCCCAAAAGGAUGAAAACACUGCUUCUUUUUGAGAGCUCUCAUGUGAGACGGAAAGUGCUAUUGAAAGGGGGACGGAUCCGUGACCUGCAUGACCAGCGUUCACCCAGCACAGGACAUCACCCAGUGCAUCGCUGCGAGCGGUGGCGUGGAGGGGCCCAUGCUCCUCUGGGAGAACUGGGGGAGAACCGGGACCCCCGGAGGCAGCCAGAGCUCGGACCCCUGGCCAUGGGGGAGGAGGGAAGGAGGGCCACACCCAGAACGCCCUGAGGCUGCAAGAGAGGCAGGCCUGGGGCAUUGAACCAGGGGCUGCAGUGAAGAAAGGGGAGAAGUCUGAGAUCCAAAAUGCAAAAACCACAGGGAAGCAGCGGGCAGGUGCUGGGGCCGGGGCUGGGGCAGGCGCAGGGGCAGGGGCAGGUGCAGGGGCUGGGCAGGCGCAGGGGCAAGUGCAGGGACAGGCUCAGGGGCGG